UACGUAGGGCGCAAGCGUUGUCCGGAAUUAUUGGGCGUAAAGAGCUCGUAGGCGGUUUGUCGCGUCUGCUGUGAAAACCUAAGGCUCAACCUUGGGCUUGCAGUGGGUACGGGCAGACUAGAGUGCGGUAGGGGUGACUGGAAUUCCUGGUGUAGCGGUGGAAUGCGCAGAUAUCAGGAGGAACACCGAUGGCGAAGGCAGGUCUCUGGGCCGAUACUGACGCUGGAGGAGCGAAAGCGUGGGGAGCGAACAGG
rnacentral:rRNA from 1 species